rnacentral:lncRNA from 1 species
AACACCCACAAACAACGUCACGACGCAACGUGGUUAAACAGUACGUUUAUUAAAGUAACUGGGUGAACGACAUCGGAGCGGACUGCAAAUCGCAACGCUACUUUCUCGAGUGCAGAUACUCUUCGAGACGGCUAAACAACGUGUCCAACUCGCUGAGACCUUUCCGCGUGCCGUUAUCCGAUUUCCUUUCCGCCUCCUGAGACAGCCGACUAAUCACGGACUUAUCUCCGCAACCUAACAGAGGCUGGGAGCCCGACAAAAGUAAAACAGCGUGCUAUGAACACGUUGUUACCUCUGCGCGGACAGCGCCGCCACAGAGACACUUACGCAUUGCCGCAUGUCUUUGUAGAUGGAUUCUAGCGUCGAGCGCAUACUAUGCAAUUCCGUCUUAAGUCCAGGAUAGACGUGGUCGCCUGCGGGGAACACGAUCUCCAGAUACCGCCUCAACAACCAGUCCAUGACGCUGCAUCCCCAACAGCCUUUGACCACCGUACCGUCGAGCCACACGGAGUAGUCGUCCUCACGUUGCUACAAGAGGAAAACUACGUCACCCGACACGCGGAAAAGAAAGACCGUCGCAAUAAACCGUACCUACGUGACCUACCAACGUAGGUUUUACUCGAUGAAAGGUGACGCGGAGAUCUUGCAAUCUGGUCGCGUAAUCCUCCGGACGACACUGCGGCUUUGUAUUCUUUAUCAUCGUCGUCGUCGUCGUCGCCGCCGGCUUCGCCUCCUCGGAAGCGCCUAGAAAAAAGACGAUCAGGACCAGAGAGGAAGAGACCAUCACCGACAGCAUCGCCGCAGCAUGCCGCCCCAAUCCGCCGCCCAACUGCGCGUCCCAGAUACCACUCGUAGACUGUCAGCCUCGCGAGGAGACACCGCGGACCGGGGAAACGGAUAAGUUUACGAACAGAAAUCUCAAGAGAAAGACGCUGACCCGGCAAGUACCGUCACGGAGACACGGUGGUUUUUAUUGAAUUUCCAGUGUAUCGAGCCACCGUGAUGCAGGUACGGUGGUUUUAUGUGAAGUGCCGCUAUCUAUAGGCGAUGUGUUCCCUGACGGUGUGUGUUUUUUGGGGAUAGACAACGUGGUUCUUGUACGUGGUUUUUACCCUGCUCAAUAAAGUCACGUUUUCCUUACACGGUGUUGUGUC